rnacentral:rRNA from 1 species
UACAGAGGGUGCGAGCGUUAAUCGGAAUUACUGGGCGUAAAGCGUGCGCAGACGGUUGCGUAAGUCAGAUGUGAAAGCCCCGGGCUCAACCUGGGAAUUGCAUUUGAGACUGCGUAGCUAGGGUGCGGAAGAGGGAAGCGGAAUUUCCGGUGUAGCGGUGAAAUGCGUAGAUAUCGGGAAGAACACCCGUGGCGAAGGCGGCUCUCUGGGACGGUACUGACGCUGAGACGCGAAAGCGUGGGGAGCGAACAGG